rnacentral:lncRNA from 1 species
GGGCUGAAGCGGCUGGCGAAGUCGGACCCCAUGGUGUUGUGUAUGAUCGAGGAGAGCGGGGAGCACAUCAUCGCGGGAGCGGGAGAGCUGCAUUUGGAGAUCUGUCUGAAGGAUCUGCAGGAGGACUUCAUGGGAGGCGCGGAGAUCGUGGUGUCGGACCCGGUGGUGUCGUUCAGGGAGACGGUGCUGGACAAGUCGGUGCGGACGGUGAUGAGCAAGUCGCCGAACAAGCACAACAGGCUGUACUUCGAGGCUCGGCCACUGGAGGAGGGGCUGCCGGAGGCGAUCGACGACGGGCGGAUCGGGCCGCGCGACGACCCGAAGGUGCGGUCGCAGAUAUUGGCGCAGGAGUUCGGGUGGGACAAGGACUUGGCGAAGAAGAUCUGGUGUUUCGGACCGGAGACGACGGGACCGAACAUGGUGGUGGACAUGUGUAAGGGAGUGCAGUACCUGAACGAGAUCAAGGACUCGGUGGUGGCGGCGUUCCAGUGGGCGACGAAGGAGGGUGCGUUGGCGGAGGAGAACAUGCGCGGAAUCGCGUUCGAGGUGUGCGACGUGGUGCUGCACACAGACGCGAUCCAUCGAGGAGGAGGGCAGGUGAUCCCGACGGCGCGUCGUGUGAUGUACGCGGCGCAGCUGACGGCGAAGCCGAGGCUGUUGGAGCCGGUGUACUUGGUGGAGAUCCAGGCACCGGAGGGCGCUCUGGGAGGAAUCUACGGAGUGCUGAACCAGAAGCGUGGUCACGUGUUCGAGGAGGUGCAGAGGCCGGGUACGCCGCUGUACAACAUCAAGGCAUACUUGCCGGUCAUCGAGUCGUUCGGGUUUUCGGGGACGUUGAGGGCGGCGACGUCCGGGCAAGCGUUCCCGCAGUGCGUGUUCGACCACUGGGAGAUGAUGACGAGCGACCCGUUGGAAGCCGGGACGCAGUCGGCCCAGAUCGUGGCGGACGUGAGGAAGCGGAAGGGAUUGAAGGAGCAGAUCACGCCGUUGUCGGAGUACGAGGACAAGUUGUAAGGAAGGAGGCGCAGGUGGAGCAUUGUGUUUUGGGAUAUUAUGCUGGCUGGCGUUCGUUUUGUUGGACAAGCGUUUAGAUAGGUGUUGGGUUCCUAUUCCAGGGGUCAAUAUUGAGAGGCAAGGACGCGAGGCCGUGGCAGGUAAUUCGGGUCGGGAGGAUUCAGUUGUGGAGUCCUCUGGUUUUGUGAUUUAGAAGAGUGGGCUCUCCGAGUUAGCGGCCUGGAAAUUCGGACCUUAGUGGUAAUUGGGAACAUUUGAACGAGACGGGAUGUUUUUUGCCUAUUGGAGUGAAUCUGAACGUUUUCAACCCUUCGUUACUUGUUGUGGUGGUGCGUCGCAUUGGUGUCGGUGUUUUUUGUUAUGUUUUGUGUGUGGCGAGAGGUUCUCAGCGUGUUUUGGCAUGUGACUUUGGUUGUGCGUUAGCCUGGUCUUUGGUAAGUGGAGUGGACUGCGAAUUUGUUUAUUUUUAAUUUUUUUGCCGCGGAUUGUUACAUCUCAGCGUAUUCGUUCUCAGGAACCACCCUCUGGAGCUCUUGCACUUGGACUUUGGCUACCACUAUACCACUAUAUUUUGGCUAUACAAGUAGCUAAUGAGUUUUCUUCUUUUCUCAACCUCAUAAUUUGUCUAAAAAGAUAUGGUUUUUAUAUGAACUGAGAAAAACAGUAGAUAAAUAUGUUGCAUUAUUAUCAACUAAUACAAUAGAAGAAGCUCUACAACGAGAAAAAGAUAGAAAUGAAGUUGACAUAGAAAAAUGAAUCCUAUGACUCACAUUCUAAAGACAUAUGUAGUGACUUAGAUGAUGAAGAGAAUAAGAAAUAAAAGAAAAGAAUCAAGAAGGUAUUAAAAAAAUAUCUUAAAAAAAUAAAAGGAGGAGAUAACUCAACUAACAAUUGGAUCCAAAAUAAUUAAGAUUGAUGUAGUUUGCCACAAGUGCAACAAUGAAGGACAUUUCUCUUUAGAAUGUUACUUGAAAUUCUACACGAAUUGCAACACCUAUAUUCAUUAAAUCAAUAAGUGUACAUUCAACCAAUUAUACCAAGAUAGAAGUUUAGUAGUAAAUCAAGUACAUCCACAAUUAAAUAACAUAAGAAGAAAAACAUUCUUUAUAAAAAAAAUCCACCUAUGAAUAAAUAUAGGAAUCAAGGACUUUUAAAUCAUCAACAUUAUUAAAGGUGGAAUCUCCAAAAAAACAAUAAUUAUUAAAGAGAAGACAUAUACCUUUAUAGAAAAGGGUAUGGACUGAAUUACAAUUAAGAUAGGCUGAGGCUGAAGUAUAAGGAAAAGUAUAAAAAUAACAGAUAAACAAACUUACCAUUAGUUGUAUCCAAAGAUUUCCAACAAGUAUUGAAGUUACAACAACAUCCAACAUUGUUUUUUACAAUAGAAUACAAAACAUGACUAAUUAUAUGCAAGGAAUUUCAAUAAGAAUUAAAUUUGCAACGACAUGCACAAGUUUUAUUACAUCUUGUGCUUAGAGUAUCAACUUGACCUUGUUGUCAACAAGUUCUUACAAACAUCACUAAGUUGAUUUCAAUGUCAUGGCAACUUGGACAAAAAUAAUUGGUUGGUUGGUAGUUGAGAAGUUCUCAUUUGUUGCACAAAAUCUACAUGUUCACAUUACAUCAAUAUAUGUUGCAUGUCAAUAAGUUUGAUUUGAAUUGGAUGUUAGAGAACCAUGCUACUAAUACAAGGCAAUACUUUUAAUUAUUUCAAAACAAAUAGCAUAUUUUUAGGGAAUUGUUAAUGCUACAUCCCCUACUGAUAUUGCUAUACCUAAUGUGAUCUCCUCAUAGACAACUAGCUAAUAAUAUGUCUCUUUCACAAAUUUUUCCUUUUAUUUGCUUAAAAAAAAGGAUGGUGGUUGAGAGGAAGAUAGUGAAUAUUUUAUAAACAAACAAGUCAUGAGAUGUUUUCUUAUAAAACAAUAUAUUCGCCUCAAAAACUAUUUAAUUCAAAAAUUUAUUUUCUUUAAAAUUUGCAUGACAACAAUACAAAAUACUUAUUUUUUUUUAAUUUAUCCUACUUUUGGAUCAAUAGUGAGAUUAAAUAUUGGACCUCCAAAUGCACACUGCGGGUAGAAGCAUUAGAAGCAUGUUUUUUAAUCAAUUUAAAUUGUAUAGAGGUCAUAUGUAAUGUAGCAAUAUCAAUUGAGAUCCCAUUAACUAUACUCUAUUUAUAAGAACUACAUUAAUGCAUUAACUAUUCUCUAUUUUUAAGAACUAUGUUAAAGGGGCCUGCACAUACUACUCUACUGACUGAUGUAUACAAAUCACACGUCAACCCGCUACAAAGACAUUAAUUCUAACAAACAUGCCAGAUGAAUAAACUCUAUAAAAACAACUCUGCCAGUGCAGUGUCCAAGUUCAGAUGUGUUGUGACGAAAAAGAUUCGGAGAUACAACAUACUGUAAAACAAUUUCCGAUACAAACAAAACAGAUUAAGCAACUGCGUUGAACUUGUGCACAGGUGAUGACAUAAAUAUAACAGUUCGGUUUUCGAGGAUCAGUUUGAAGUAACACGCAAGGUUGCACAAUAAAUAACAGACUUAUUCCAAACACCAUGCUCCACCUGCGCCUCCUUCCUUA